rnacentral:rRNA from 1 species
CCUACGGGGGGCUGCAGUGGGGGAUAUUGGACAAUGGGGGAAACCCUGAUCCAGCGAUGCCGCUUGAGGGCCGCCUGUUUUCUUCUUGUCCCCCUCUGUGGCGGGGGCCGCUAAUGACGGUACCCCUUUAGGAAGCCACGGCUAACUACGUGCCAGCAGCCGCGGUAAUACGUAGGUGGCGAGCGUUGUCCGGAAUUACUGGGUGUAAAGGGAGGGUAGGCGGGAAAGCAAGUCAGAAGUGAAAACUAUGGGCUUAACCCAUAGCCUGCUUUUGCCCCUGUUUUUCUUGAGUGAAGUAGAGGCAAGCGGAAUUCCUAGUGUAGCGGUGAAAUGCGUAGAUAUUAGGAGGAACACCAGUGGCGAAGGCGGCUUGCUGGGCUUUUACUGACGCUGAGGCUCGAAAGCGUGGGGAGCAAACAGGAUUAGAUACCCCAGUAGUC